UUAACUCUAAUUUGUAUGGAGUUGGAAAGUUUGCGUACAUUUGCCGCUAGGGGCGCUUUUCCAAUUGCAUACAAAUUUGAGUUA
rfam:Bombyx mori DNA, contig: Bm_scaf45_contig24719, strain: p50T/Dazao, build 2, whole genome shotgun sequence.